CCUCUAGGGGAUGAGGAAUUUAAUUCCUAUGUUCUCACCGGGCUUGGAUCAGACUACAACUCUCUGGUAACUUCAAUUGUUACUCGUGUCGAGCCUAUUUCGUUCAAUGAACUACAAGCACAGAUUCUUAGUUUCGAGC